rnacentral:rRNA from 1 species
GACGAACGCUGGCGGCGUGCUUAACACAUGCAAGUCGAACGGAAAGGCCCCUUUUGGGGUACUCGAGUGGCGAACGGGUGAGUAACACGUGAGUAACCUGCCCUUGACUUCGGGAUAACUUCAGGAGACUGGGGCUAAUACCGGAUAGGAAUCCUUGCUGCAUGGUGGGGGUUGGAAAGCUUCGGCGGUUUUGGAUGGACUCGCGGCUUAUCAGCUUGUUGGUGGGGUAGUGGCUUACCAAGGCUUUGACGGGUAGCCGGCCUGAGAGGGCGACCGGCCACAUUGGGACUGAGAUACGGCCCAGACACCUACGGGAGGCAGCAGUGGGGAAUAUUGCACAAUGGGCGGAAGCCUGAUGCAGAAACGCCGCGGGCGGGAUGACGGCCUUCGGGUUGUAAAACGCUUUCAGCAGGGGCGAAGCUUGUGGUGACGGUACCUGCAGAAGAAGCACCGGCUAACUACGUG